GCCGUCGUAGUUCAAUGAGCAGAACACCGCACCCGUAAUGCGGAGGCUGCCGGUGCAAAACCGGCCGACGGCUCCA
rnacentral:tRNA from 1 species